UAUACAGAGGGCUGCCAACUAGCGAUAGUGAGCGAAUCCCAGAAAGUACGUCGUAGUCCGGAUUGGAGUCUGCAACUCGACUCCAUGAAGUCGGAAUCGCUAGUAAUCGUGAAUCAGAAUGUCACGGUGAAUACGUUCCCGGGCCUUGUACACACCGCCCGUCACACCAUGGGAGUGGGCUGCACCAGAAGUAGAUAGCUUAACCUUCGGGAGGGCGUUUACCACGGUGUGGUUCAUGACUGGGGUGAAGUCGUAACAAGGUAGCCCUAGGGGAACCUGGGGCUGGAUCACCUCCUUACCUAA
rnacentral:rRNA from 1 species